AUUGAACGCUGGCGGCAUGCCUUACACAUGCAAGUCGAACGGCAGCGGGGGAGAAGCUUGCUUUUCCUGCCGGCGAGUGGCGAACGGGUGAGUAAUACAUCGGAACGUGCCCUGUAGUGGGGGAUAACUAGUCGAAAGAUUAGCUAAUACCGCAUACGACCUGAGGGUGAAAGUGGGGGACCGCAAGGCCUCAUGCUAUAGGAGCGGCCGAUGUCUGAUUAGCUAGUUGGUGGGGUAAAGGCCUACCAAGGCGACAAUCAGUAGCUGGUCUGAGAGGACGAUCAGCCACACUGGGACUGAGACACGGCCCAGACUCCUACGGGAGGCAGCAGUGGGGAAUUUUGGACAAUGGGCGAAAGCCUGAUCCAGCAAUGCCGCGUGUGUGAAGAAGGCCUUCGGGUUGUAAAGCACUUUUGUCCGGAAAGAAAUGGCUCUGGUUAAUACCUGGGGUCGAUGACGGUACCGGAAGAAUAAGGACCGGCUAACUACGUGCCAGCCGCCGCCGACA
rnacentral:rRNA from 1 species